rnacentral:lncRNA from 1 species
CUAAAGUGUCUUACUUACCCUAUCCCACCCAUUCUGUCAAAUUCCAUGUCUCUUAUAAAAUACCUGUACUUUGCUCAUUCCUUCAGAGCCCUACUCUCUGCGAAGCAGAUGAUUUGGUGAUUGCAGUCGUGAAUGAGUAGCUAAUGUUCUUAGGGUGGCUGUUUGUCAACUUGGUAUCAUCCCUAUCUCUUGCCAGGGUAGUUCUGGUUCACGUUCUGCCAAAGAAAAGAAUUUGUUUGGCGCUUGGAAGGGGAAAUAAUAGGAAAAGCCAACAUUCCCUGGUAACAGCUAUGGACAGAAGUGGGAACUGUUGGCAGGCAUGAGGUUGUCACGGCUUCUGGGUAAACUACUGCUUUGGGGGCUGCAGGUGGCUGCGAGUGGACAGUAGCAGCUUCCCUGCUAUUCCUGGAAUGCCUGCAGUUCCUUACCUUCUCGUUCCUCUGGAUUUCCCGAAAGCCCUGCUGAACAUUCUGCCUGUUCUUCAUCCUUCCUACCCUUCCAAAUGUCAUGUAGGUUUCUAAUUCCCUGAAUUAAAUCCCCUCUACUUGAAAUGUCUC